AGCAGCCGCGGUAAUUCCAGCUCCAAUAGCGUAUAUUAAAGUUGUUGCAGUUAAAAAGCUCGUAGUUGAAUUUCGGGAUCAAUUGAUUGGUCAUGCUUUAGUAUGUACUGGUCAUAUUGGUUCUCACCUUCUAAUGAACCAUAAUGUCAUUCAUUUGAUGUUAUGGGGAAUUAGGACUGUUACCUUGAAAAAAUUAGAGUGUUUAAAGCAGGCUUACGCUUGAAUACAUUAGCAUGGAAUAAUGAAAUAGGACAUCGCAUUCUAUUUUGUUGGUUUCU
rnacentral:rRNA from 1 species